rnacentral:rRNA from 1 species
GACGAACGCUGGCGGCGUGCUUAAUACAUGCAAGUCGAACGGAAAGGCCCUGCUUUUGUGGGGUGCUCGAGUGGCGAACGGGUGAGUAACACGUGAGUAACCUGCCCUUGACUUUGGGAUAACUUCAGGAAACUGGGGCUAAUACCGGAUAGGAGCUCCUGCUGCAUGGUGGGGGUUGGAAAGUUUCGGCGGUUGGGGAUGGACUCGAGGCUUAUCAGCUUGUUGGUGGGGUAGUGGCUUACCAAGGCUUUGAGGGGUAGCCGGCCUGAGAGGGUGACCGGCCACAUUGGGACUGAGAUACGGCCCAGACUCCUACUGGAGGCAGCGGUGGGGAAUAUUGCCCAAUGGACGGAAGCCUGAUGCAGCAACGCCGCGUGCGGGAUGACGGCCUUCGGGUUGUAACCCGCUUUCGCCUGUGGCGAAGCGUGAGUGACGGUAAUGGGUAAAGAAGCACCGGCUAACUACGUG